GAUGAACGCUGGCGGCGUGCCUAAUACAUGCAAGUCGAGCGAACAGACGAGGAGCUUGCUCCUCUGACGUUAGCGGCGGACGGGUGAGUAACACGUGGAUAACCUACCUAUAAGACUGGGAUAACUUCGGGAAACCGGAGCUAAUACCGGAUAAUAUAUUGAACCGCAUGGUUCAAUAGUGAAAGACGGUUUUGCUGUCACUUAUAGAUGGAUCCGCGCCGCAUUAGCUAGUUGGUAAGGUAACGGCUUACCAAGGCAACGAUGCGUAGCCGACCUGAGAGGGUGAUCGGCCACACUGGAACUGAGACACGGUCCAGACUCCUACGGGGGGCAGCAGUAGGGAAUCUUCCGGAAUGGGCGAAAGCCUGACGGAGCAACGCCGCGUGAGUGAUGAAGGUCUUCGGAUCGUAAAACUCUGUUAUUAGGGAAGAACAAAUGUGUAAGUAACUAUGCACGUCUUGACGGUACCUAAUCAGAAAGCCACGGCUAACUACGUG
rnacentral:rRNA from 1 species